rnacentral:lncRNA from 1 species
GAGGCGCAGAACUCUGGGGAGGCAGCCGGAGAAGGAGGUUCCUAAAGACUUGAAGGCGACCUGGUAGGAGCUUGGCAGCGAUCCCUUCUAUCCUAGGCUGUCCCGUUGCAGGAGCCCUGCGCCAGGGCUCCUUGUAGGUCAGGUCAUACUGUGCCCAGGGGCAAAGGGCACCUGGAAGAUUGCGGCGGACCUCCGCGUCCUUGCGCGCUGCUCUCCCGCCAGCCGGCGCAGCUUGGGUACGCAGCGGCAGUGGCUAUUUGUCCUCAGGAGCCGCAGCGCUCUGAGCCACGCAGCCCCUUCCUGGGCUCAGGCUCCUUGGUUGGUUCUAGGCUCAGCGUUUUGGCGCAGCCUUUGCUCUCCAAGAGACGCCUAGGAGCCUGGGCGCCGUGCUUCUGCUGCGCGUCGGGCGGGCCUGGCUGCAGCACUGGGCUCUGGACGCCCACUGCUCCGCGGUUUCAGGGGUCCUGGCCGGGGGUGACCGGCGGCAGCGAUGGGUGCGAAGUUAGCAGAUGUGGCUGGAAUCAUCGCCUUUCGGAGAACUCCACUGCGCCGGGAUGGGGAGCAGGGGCGGAGCUGGGGGCGGGGGCAAAGAAGGAGGAGGAGGGGGGCACGGUGAGGUGGCGGGGCGCCCCGCGACAGGGUUGGAGAGGUGGUAGCCUCGGCGCUAACAAUUCACCAAAUAGUUAAUUUUAAGGAAGGGGUAUGCUGAGGCUCCCUCCUAGGCUCGUUCCUAGUUGCGGAGCAAGGACUGACAGCGCAGCGCUGGCUCUGGCCAGAAGCAUCCCUCCGGGAGUGGGUGCGGGGACUCUCGCCCCAGGGUCCCAGCCUGAGCUAUAAGACGAGGUCCACGCUUUCAGCUGUGCUUUCGAAGGGUCGCAGCACACAGUUCCCAUCCCCUUUACUUCGUUCUUUGGAGUCCAUUUGGCUCGGAGCUAGGAGGAGCAGGAGGUGGGGGAAGGAAAAAGUGGGGAGGUCUCCAAAGCCAAGAGCUCUGAGAACGAAGAGAAGCCGCCGGUGCGGAUAUCCGAGGCUGAGAACCGAAGCUUGGCGGAUGAGGCGAAGGUUUGGAGGAGAAGGGAGGCCCGAGGCCGAGUGGAAGUCGACAGAGACGCCUCUGGAUCCAGGGAAGCGCCGCCGCGUGCCACCCUGGAGCUCUGAAACGCGCUGCGGGCACCAGGCUACUGGGAGGAAUUUGGAGACCUGUCAGAGCGGUGCGGAGCCAGGACUCGUAGGCCGCUUUGCCCACGGACUCGGAGAGCCCAGCGCGACGGAAUACAGGGUCUCCUUUCCGCCCUUCCUACCCGUGCGUCUUUUGGCAAAGCCAACUUUCGGGCUAAACGCAAAAUCCCCCAAGAAGCCGCAGUCAUAG